rnacentral:lncRNA from 1 species
GACACUUCCGGUCCGCUAUAGUGCAGGCUCGACUGAGUGUCUGAGGGAGGCUCCCCGCGGUCUCUGUUCCGUGCUGUGACUUGCCGACCGGACCUGUGAGCAGAGCUGGGCGAGCUCGGAAUCCGCACCAUGUGCUACCUGCCCUGGAUAUAUCUGACUGGAGCCUGUCCUUCCUGUGAUCCUGGUUGUGUCAGAAAUCCUCCGAGUCAAGCUGUCUCUGUGAUCCUGUGAUCCUGAGAUCCUGGGUGUAUCCGAGCUCCUGGGAGUCAAGCUGCCUUUGGGAUCUUGAGAUCCUGGUGUGACCAAGUUCCUGGGGUCCUGGGAUGGUGUGAUCCUGGGAUACACUGACCUAUGAGGAUGUGUAUGUGAAAUUCACUCAUGAAGAGUGGGCUUUGUUGAAUCCUUCCCAGAAGAGUCUCUACAAAGAUGUGAUGCUGCAAACCUGCAGGAACCUCAUUGCUAUAGGCUACAAAUGGAACAACCAGAAUAUUGAAGAACAUUGUCAAAGUUCUGGAAAACAUGAAAGACAGCUCAUUUUAUGAAUCUAUCUCAUCUGGACCUAGUGGUGUAUUUUGGAGACAUACAAGUGGAUCUUUCUGAGUUUAAGGCUAUCUUGUUCAACAUGGUUGGAGACGGAAUGGCUCCAGCUCCUGUCCUUUACUAAUGACAAUGUGUUUAUGACUGGAUCCUGGAAGCAUAAUACACUCAUUCAUUAAUCUGAA